UACGUAGGGUGCGAGCGUUGUCCGGAAUUAUUGGGCGUAAAGAGCUUGUAGGCGGUCUGUCGCGUCUGCUGUGAAAAUCCGGGGCUCAACCCCGGACUUGCAGUGGGUACGGGCAGACUAGAGUGUGGUAGGGGAGACUGGAAUUCCUGGUGUAGCGGUGAAAUGCGCAGAUAGUCAGGAGGGAACACCGGUGGCGAAGGCGG
rnacentral:rRNA from 1 species